rnacentral:rRNA from 1 species
CUGACAUCACCAACCCAUCACCAGUAUUGAAUAAAUUCAUAACCUAUGAAAAUUAUUAUGCUAGAACUAGUAACAAGAAAAUGAAUUUCUCCAAAGUGUAAGCAUAAACCAAAAUGGACACCACACUGGUAAUUAACGACUAUGAACCCAUUAUAGUAACAUAACUAGAAAAUCCUAUAUCUAACCCCGUUAACCUUACACAAGAACUCUCCUGGAAAGAUUAAAAGGAAGAGAAGGAACUCGGCAAAUCUUAACCCCGCCUGUUUACCAAAAACAUCGCCUCUUGGUCAGAUAUAAGAGGUCUAGCCUGCCCAGUGUUUUAGUUUUAAUCAACGGCCGCGUGAUUUAAACGCGCGAAGGUAGCAUAAUAAUUUGUUCUUUAAAUGAGGACUUGUAUCAAUGGCAUCACGAGGGUUAUACUGUCUCCUCUCCCCAAUCAGUGAAACUAAUCUCCUUGUGAAAAAGAAAAGAGGAGAGCAUAAGACGAGAAGACCCCAUGGAGCUUAAAACACGGCAACAACCCUAAUACCAUAACCAAUUUAAUUUUAAGCCCUGUAUGCUAGUUUUAGGUUGGGGUGACCACGGAGUAAAGCAAAACCUCCACAACGAAAAGGGGUUAUACCCUUAUCUAAGAGAUACUUCUCUAAGAAUUAUUAAAAAUAACGUCCAAUGAUCCGACUAUCGACCAAUGAACCAAGUUACCCUGGGGAUAACAGCGCAAUCCACCCUGAGAGCCCCUAUCGACGAGUGGGCUUACGACCUCGAUGUUGGAUCAGGAUAUCCCAGUGGUGCAGCCGCUACUAAA